UACGUAGGGUGCGAGCGUUAAUCGGAAUUACUGGGCGUAAAGCGUGCGCAGGCGGUUUUGUAAGCCAGAUGUGAAAUCCCCGGGCUUAACCUGGGAAUGGCAUUUGGGACUGCAAGGCUUGAGUGCGGCAGAGGAGACUGGAAUUCCCGGUGUAGCAGUGAAAUGCGCAGAUAUCAGGAAGAACACCAAUGGCGAAAGCAGCUCUCUGGGACGGUACUGACGCUGAGACGCGAAAGCGUGGGGAGCGAACAGG
rnacentral:rRNA from 1 species